rnacentral:rRNA from 1 species
GGCCACCUACGGGACGCAGCAGCGAGGAAUAUUGGUCAAUGGCCGGAAGGCUGAACCAGCCAAGCCGCGUGAAGGACGAAGGUGCCAAGCAUUGUAAACUUCUUUUGUCAAGGGACAAAAUCAGGCUCGAGAGCCUGACCGAGGGUACUUGAAGAAAAAGCAUCGGCUAACUCCGUGCCAGCAGCCGCGGUAAUACGGAGGAUGCGAGCGUUAUCCGGAUUUAUUGGGUUUAAAGGGUGCGCAGGCGGAAUGUCAAGUCAGCGGUAAAAUUUCGGGGCUCAACCCCGCCGUGC